UACGAAGGGGGCUAGCGUUGCUCGGAAUUACUGGGCGUAAAGGGCGCGUAGGCGGACAGUUUAGUCAGAGGUGAAAGCCCAGGGCUCAACCUUGGAAUUGCCUUUGAUACUGGCUGUCUUGAGUUCGGGAGAGGUGAGUGGAAUGCCGAGUGUAGAGGUGAAAUUCGUAGAUAUUCGGCGGAACACCAGUGGCGAAAGCGAGUCUCUGGACGGCAUCUGACGCUGAGGCACGAAAGCCAAGGUAGCAAACGGG
rnacentral:rRNA from 1 species